rnacentral:lncRNA from 1 species
ACAGAAUACCCAGGAACCUUUAUUGCCCCCAGAUCUGCUGUUCUUCUGGGCAAAGAAAAGGGGGGAUCAGCACACAGAAAGAAUCUCAAGACUUUGAGAAAGAUAUCGUCAGGGAUCCCCUAAGGAUCAGCAAGCCACAAGCAGCAACACAGCCUGCAGAACAGGCCCAGAGAGAGCAGCCAAGUUCAAUCAACAACCCAGGCCAGGUUAUAAGGAAAGUCCAUGGGGAUGAGGCACAUCCAAGGUCAAGGUAGAAGCCAACCCACCAGUCAGAACCAGGUCCAGCAAUGGCAACCAGGGUCCAACACACCCCAGUGAACAACAGACAUACACGGUGACAGGAUGGGUCUGAGAUCAAGCCAGGAGCCUUGUUCAGCCUCCAGUUCAACACCCAGAGCAGUAGGUGCUCUGGGCAGAGAUACAACUGACCAGCAUCCCUCCAGCAUAGCUCAAACAGGAACAGGGCCCAGGGCUGAGCUUAAAUGAGGCUCCUCAGCCUGCAGCAGAGAGCAUGGGUGGAGGCCCCAGCUGGGGCUGCUCAGGGCCAUUAAGGUCUGUUAAUGCCCUGGGGCAUUGCAGCUGAGUUUAGUGGCAUCCAGAUUGCCUGGGCCAGGUCUUCUCUAUUCCCACCCUCUGGGCUAGCUGGUUUUGUCCACCCUGGUCAGUUUUCCAGUUCAAUUGGAUUGAAUUACCUGAUGUUUGAAUAGUUUUAUGAAAAGAGAAACUUCUGUGUGAAGAGACUUAGGCAAAUUAGGACCACAGGAGCUAGGGACGGAGCUCCCACCUUCAGGUUCUCACUAUCGUUGAGCUCUAGACACACGUGCUCAGUGGAUGGUGUAGAGAUAUUAUCACUGAGUGAAGUAAUUGAGAGAAGAUGGAGACUGUUGUUGCUGGGAAUAAAACAUGUCACUUGCAGAGCUACAGGACCAUCCACCCCGGACUCCUGUGCAAGGUGGUGCUCAUCAUGUUACAGCCUCGGCUUCUUGGGGGCUGCUUGCUACCAACCAGUUUGCUACGGGCAGCUCGAGGAGAGAGGUGGCUGAAAAAGCACCCCCAGUAGGAUGUAGGUGUCCUUCAGCCCGAAAAGGACUUGGUGAAGAAGGGGAUUACUUCAGCUGGUUGAUCAUUAGUUCAUAAGGCUGAGAGGAAACAUGAGUUUGUUUUAUUUCUAUAUAUUAUCUCUGCAGGAAAAAAACAAACAAACAAACAAACAAACAAAAAUACUAUUUCCUCGGUAGGGAAGUAUUCCUUAAUGGAAAUGUCCCAUUCAAUUUCAUAGACACUUAUUGAA